rnacentral:rRNA from 1 species
UACGAAGGGUGCAAGCGUUACUCGGAAUUACUGGGCGUAAAGCGUGCGUAGGCGGUUGUUUAAGUCUGUUGUGAAAGCCCUGGGCUCAACCUGGGAAUUGCAGUGGAUACUGGGCGACUAGAGUGUGGUAGAGGGUAGUGGAAUUCCCGGUGUAGCAGUGAAAUGCGUAGAGAUCGGGAGGAACAUCCAUGGCGAAGGCAGCUACCUGGACCAACACUGACACUGAGGCACGAAAGCGUGGGGAGCAAACAGG